UGCAGUCGAGCGGCAGCACGGGGGCAACCCUGGUGGCGAGCGGCGAACGGGUGAGUAAUACAUCGGAACAUGCCCAGUCGUGGGGGAUAACACUUCGAAAGAAGUGCUAAUACCGCAUACGUCCUGAGGGAGAAAGCGGGGGAUCGCAAGACCUCGCGCGAUUGGAGUGGCCGAUGUCAGAUUAGCUAGUUGGUGGGGUAAAGGCCUACCAAGGCAACGAUCUGUAGCUGGUCUGAGAGGAUGAUCAGCCACACUGGGACUGAGACACGGCCCAGACUCCUACGGGAGGCAGCAGUGGGGAAUUUUGGACAAUGGGGGCAACCCUGAUCCAGCCAUUCCGCGUGAGUGAAGAAGGCCUUCGGGUUGUAAAGCUCUUUCGGCAGGAACGAAACGGUGAGCUCUAACAUAGCUUGCUAAUGACGGUACCUGAAGAAGAAGCACCGGCUAACUACGUGCCAGCAGCCGCGGUAAUACGUAGGGUGCGAGCGUUAAUCGGAAUUACUGGGCGUAAAGCGUGCGCAGGCGGUUGUGUAAGACAGGUGUGAAAUCCCGGGGCUUAACCUGGGAACUGCGCUUGUGACUGCACAGCUAGAGUAUGGCAGA
rnacentral:rRNA from 1 species